UGAACACCGUGCCCAAGCAGUGGGACAGAACCAAGGUUUGUGUGCCAGGAAGGUCUGAACACCCUGUCCCGAGUGUGAAAAGCCUCACACAGCCUGCCCUGCCUUGCCAGAGAUCCCCUUUCCUUCCUUUUCACUCCCACAAUUGGGUGGGUUAAUCUGACACCGUACCUUAGAGCCACGAUAAAAAAAAAAAAAUACUCUUAAGCUUGUUGUUGUUUGGCUCUAAAUCCCAAGCUGAGGUUAUGAGUGCUUCUCCUUGAUGUGUGUGGGUUAAAAAUCAGAUGCUGAAACGUGAAUCUCUUGAAAAAGUUCACUUGGCAGAGGGGACAUGAAGGUGAUGGAGUUUCUUGCUGAUUUGGGAAUGAGUGGUGUGAAGUGCUUUGUUCUGCUUCCUGGUCCCUGUGAGAGCCUGUGUGAUGGC